CACGUAGGGGACGAGCGUUGUCCGGAUUCAUUGGGCGUAAAGCGCACGUAGUCGGCUUGCCAAGUCGGGUGUGAAAUCCCCGGGCUCAACCUGGGAACUGCAUCCGAAACUGGCUUGCUAGAGUAUGGGAGAGGGAGGCGGAAUUUCUGGUGUAGCAGUGAAAUGCGUAGAUAUCAGAAGGAACAUCAGUGGCGAAGGCGGCCUCCUGGACCAAUACUGACGAUCAGGUGCGAAAGCGUGGGGAGCAAACAGG
rnacentral:rRNA from 1 species